CCAAUAGCGUAUAUUAAAGUUGUUGCAGUUAAAAAGCUCGUAGUUGAAUUUCGGGAUCAGUACGUUGGUCGUGCCUUGGUAUGUACUGGCGUCACUGAUUCCUACCUUCUGAAGAACCGUCAUGCCAUUAAUUUGGUGUGGCGGGGAAUCAGGACUGUUACUUUGAAAAAAUUAGAGUGUUUAAAGCAGGCUCGCGCUUGAAUACAUUAGCAUGGAAUAAUGAAAUAGGACGUUAAUCCUAUUUUGUUGGUUUCUAGGAUCGACGUAAUGAUUAAUAGGGAUAGUUGGGGGCAUUAGUAUUCAAUUGUCAGAGGUGAAAUUCUUGGAUUUAUUGAAGACUAACUACUGCGAAAGCAUUUGCCAAGGAUGUUUUCAUUAAUCAAGAACGAAAGUUAGGGGAUCGAAGACGAUCAGAUACCGUCGUAGUCUUAACCAUAAACUAUGCCGACUAGGGAUCGGAUGAUGUUAAUUUUUUAAUGACUCAUUCGGCGCCUUACG
rnacentral:rRNA from 1 species